GUACCUACGGGAGGCAGCAGUGAGGAAUAUUGGUCAAUGGGCGCGAGCCUGAACCAGCCAAGUCGCGUGAGGGAAGACGGUCCUAUGGAUUGUAAACCUCUUUUGUCGGGGAGCAAAAAGGCCUCGUGAGGUCACAAGUGAGAGUACCCGAAGAAAAAGCAUCGGCUAACUCCGUGCCAGCAGCCGCGGUAAUACGGAGGAUGCGAGCGUUAUCCGGAUUUAUUGGGUUUAAGGGGAGCGUAGAUGGGUUGUUAAGUCAGUUGUGAAAGUUUGCGGCUCAACCGUAAAAUUGCAAUUGAUACUGG
rnacentral:rRNA from 1 species